CACCAGGUUUGGUCCUAGCCUCAGUAUUAAUUUGAUUCAAACUUACACAUGCAAGUUUCCGCACUCCAGUGCGAUUGCCCUUACUUAUCCCUUUAGAAAUUAAGGAGCGGAUAUCAGGCUCGCCCCUGCAGCCCAAGACACCUUGCUCAGCCACGCCCCCACGGGACCUCAGCAGUGAUUAAUAUUAGUAAAUGAACGAAAGUUCGAUCCAGUUAUGGUUUUAAGGGCCGGUCAAUCUCGUGCCAGCUACCGCGGUUAUACGAGCGGCCCAAAUUAAUAAGAUUAACGGCGUAAAGAGUGUAUAAAGAUGUAAUCUUCCCCCUUUAAAGCUGAAAUACUGCCCAACUGUUAUACGUACUCGCAUUAAUGAAAAACAAUUAUGAAAAUAGCUUUAUAUAAAUAAGAUAUCUCGUAUCACGAUAGCUAAAAACCAAACUGGGAUUAGAUACCCCACUAUGUUUAGCCUUAAACCUAGGUGUUUAAAUUACCACAACACCCGCCAGAGAACUACGAGCGCCAGCUUAAAACCCAAAGGACUUGGCGGUGCCUUAGACCCCCCUAGAGGAGCCUGUUCUAGAACCGAUAAUCCCCGUUUAACCUCACCACCCCUUGCUAUUACAGCCUAUAUACCGCCGUCGCCAGCUUGCCCUAUGAAGGAAAAACAGCAAGCAUAAAGAAUUACCUCCAAAACGUCAGGUCGAGGUGUAGCAUAUGGGAUGGGAAGAAAUGAGCUACAUUUUCUUUAAAGACUAACAGAUAAAUAAUGAAAUAAAUUUGAAGUUGGAUUUAGUAGUAAGAAUUAAAUAGUAUAUUAAUCUGAAAACGGCUCUGAGGCGCGCACACACCGCCCGUCACUCUCCUCAAUACUAACCUUAUCUAUUUAUAAUAAAAUUUUACAAUAAGAGGAGGCAAGUCGUAACAUGGUAAGUGUACUGGAAAGUGCACUUGGAAU
rnacentral:ncRNA from 1 species